GAUGAACGCUAGCGGCAGGCCUAACACAUGCAAGUCAGGGGUGACAUGAAAAGCUUGCUUUUCUGAUGACGACCGGCGCACGGGUGCGUAACGCGUAUACAACCUACCUUUUAGCGGGGAAUAGCCCAGGGAAACUUGGAUUAAUGCCCCAUAGUAUAUGGACUUCUCCUGAAGUUUAUAUUAAACAUUUAUGGCUAUUAGAUGGGUAUGCGUCCUAUUAGUUAGUUGGUAAGGUAACGGCUUACCAAGGCAGCGAUAGGUAGGGGUCCUGAGAGGGAGAUCCCCACACUGGUACUGAGACACGGACCAGACUCCUACGGGAGGCAGCAGUGAGGAAUAUUGGACAAUGGGCGAGAGCCUGAUCCAGCCAUGCCGCGUGCAGGAAGACUGCCCUAUGGGUUGUAAACUGUCUUUUACAGAGGAAGAACCCACCCCCACGUGUGGGGGUUUGACGGUACUCUGCGAAUAAGGAUCGGCUAACUCCGUG
rnacentral:rRNA from 1 species